UGAGGUGGAGCAAAUCCCGAAAAGCGAUCUCAGUUCGGAUUGCAGGCUGCAACUCGCCUGUAUGAAGUCGGAAUUGCUAGUAAUCGCGGAUCAGCAUGCCGCGGUGAAUACGUUCCCGGGUCUUGUACACACCGCCCGUCACACCAUGGGAGUCGGAAAUGCCCGAAGUCUGUGACCCAACCUUAGGGAGGGAGCAGCCGAAGGCAGGUCGGAUGACUGGGGUGAAGUCGUAACAAGGUAGC
rnacentral:rRNA from 1 species